UAAUACGUAGGGUGCGAGCGUUAAUCGGAAUUACUGGGCGUAAAGAGUGCGUAGGCGGUUCGUUAUGUCUGUGGUGAAAGCCCUGGGCUCAACCUAGGAAUGGCCAUGGAAACUGGCGGGCUGGAGUAUGGCAGAGGGGGGUGGAAUUCCGCGUGUAGCAGUGAAAUGCGUAGAGAUGCGGAGGAACACCGAUGGCGAAGGCAGCCCCCUGGGCUAAUACUGACGCUGAGGCACGAAAGCGUGGGGAGCAAACAGGAUUAGAUACCCUGGUAGUCCACGCCCUAAACGAUGAUCACUAGGUGUUGGGGAAGUGAUUCCUUGGUACCGCAGCUAACGCGUGAAGUGAUCCGCCUGGGGAGUACGGCCGCAAGGUUA
rnacentral:rRNA from 1 species